GGAGUAUCCAACACAACUUGACAAACCCUGUAAGUUGUCUUGCAAUUUUGUUUCAUGACGUGACUUUUGUCUCACUUGCAUCAAUGUUACCAAUUUCGUUGAGCAAGCUUGUUGUUAUCACAUUCUAAGUUGUCACUUGGUAGACCAGACUCAUCUUCACCCAAUGUUUUUUUUACCUAGAGAGGGCAAACCCUCCCAUUUCUAUUAAGAGAAAUUCAUAAACAGAAGAGUUUCCUGACUAAGCACCUAAUUUUAGCACAACCCCUCCUGCCUGAUGCCAUCCAAUCAGUUUUACAGGAGUUGCCUCCCUAGUACAUGCAUCAAGUAAAAUUGUUCCUUAUAACAUUAGAUGGAGUAUUUACACAAGCUAUAGAGACAACAGUACCUGUUCUAUUAGAGAGUAUACCUAAGUAGCAUUGAAUCUACAAAAAGAUGGCAAACCACGUAGUGCCACGAUCUGUAACUCCAGAUUCCUUUUAGCAAUCUGCAUAACAGUAACUGAUUAACUGACAAGAUGUUGGUGCUUCCAUUUCGUCAAAUGCAAAUGCGACUCUCCACUGCUUCCAUUUGAGUUCUCAGAUAUGGACUCAGCACUUGUCGUAGCUAGCUCGGAGAUUUUAUAUCACUUCUUUGCCAGACCACCAGUGCCCAUGACUUCUGUUGAGGAACACAGUGCUAGGGCUUGAACUUGAUUACUUCUCUAGAUAUCCUCAAUUCCUCAUAAUGUUAGGGCUUGAAUUUGAUCACUUCUCUAGCUAUCCUCAUGCAGAUCACAGAGAGAAUGGCCGUCAAUCAUGCCGGGAAAAACAACUGCUCAUCAUGGCUCAAUCAUACCGAGCAAAAUGGGUGCCCAUUGUCGCAUUAGGAGACUACUAAUAUUGUGUUCUUCUUAAUGGAACAUAAUGCUAAAAUUUUUGUCAUAUUUGCCUCAUGUUCCUGAUUGCGAUGCCCGUAGAGUGGCCAGGUUUGCAAGUUCUGAAAUUUCAUCAAAUUUCCUUUCUCUCAUCAAUUCUUUGUCGAAAAUAGCAUCAGAUAGCACCACUGCAGAUGCCCCUGCCUCCAAAUACCCCUUGAUUGAGUCUACAAUAAGCAAUUUUGCAACAGAUUGAGCGGCUUCAUAGAGCUAGUAUGUGUGCCUACUGUUUUUGUUUAAGCACUUCUUUCUAAAAAUGGAUGGGUGAUAAAACUUUUGUUUGUGGCUAGCUUAAGAUCCUUAGGUAUUCUGAAAAGAACAUUUGUAUGCGUUCUUAGCUAUAAAAUCUGAGAUAUUUAACAGAAACAUGGAGACAUUUAUGGAACUUUAUUAUAACUAUGGAUUAGCAGGUAACUUACCUAUGCUUAUUCCUUGAGAAGCGACCAUUGGUAGAAAAGGAAAUGGUUUCUUCAAAGCAAGCAUAUAGACCUCCCCACCCAUUACUGAAACUGGGUAGACCUAAUUUAAUUUUACCACAUAAGCCAAGAAAUUCCAAUUAGUCCUAUAAAUGCAGGCUGAAAACGAGUACAUCUAACUAAUUAAUCGGGAAUCAAAAGGGCAAAACAAAGUAACGCACAUGGGAAGGAAAAAAAAAGAUAGAAAUUGUCUAUUAAUUCUUUAUUUUUAAUGGUAUGACCUAUCAACCAAAACUAUAAAAAGAAAGGCAAAGCUACCUUAACGACUUCUGCUCCAGCAUUGGAAGCAGAUAUAACCUGUAAAAGUCGAAUAUAUCAGACACGUGGAAUUAAAAUAAGUUCAUCGUAAUGAUAUGAUCAGGACUCCUCAACAUACUUCAGUUGGUGUCAGCACUCCUGGAAUACACAGGACUUCACUUUCUUUAAGAGCAUGAAGUAUUUCCUUACACAAAUACAAUAUGCAAGAAUCAAUCAGCUUAGAUGUAUAAUGAUAAUAUGCAAGUAUUAAGUAGUGUGUCCCACUAAGUACAUCAAAGCACAGACUGAAAUUGGAUCAAACUUGCCAAAUUAAAUUCAUUAUGAAGCUAUAUAAACCAUUGACAUCAUGCAAGGUUGCAUCAACAAAUUGUAACAGAAGUGUGUAAGAAAGAUGUUAAAAGGAACAUCACGAUAUAAAUAUGGGAAAUAGGCACCUCUGCUAUUAGAAAAGAAACAAUUCUGCAAAUGUUCAUAAUACCUGUGCCACUUACCAUGACUGUACCAGGACUCAUGAGAAACUGUGCACCAGCUGUAAUGGCUUUCCUUGCAUCUUCAGGAUUCAAGACCGUGCCAACCUAAUAUAACACCAGGUUCAUAAAUACUAGAUAGUGCCAUCAGCGACUAAUGUGCUUGACAUUAAUAAAAAUAUUACGCAUUACAUUGUUAGCUCUGGUAUAGCAGGAUGUGACUACCACCUUCUAGAAACAAAUUAAUUGAGGAAUCACACACUUGCACCACACAGCUUGGUUGGAAGUAAAAAUAGUAAAGCGAGCAUAGCGGCAUACCUUUCAUCUCGAAACUAAGUAUAUCACAUCUUUAGUGAAAUGUUGAAAAUGAUCAAAGCAGUUAGUAUCAAGGAAACUAAAAAGUAAAAUGAAUACAUGAAUUCAGUGGUUCUGACAGACUGAAACAAUAGCUAGGCCCACAACCCGUGAUGCCAUGAGACACCUAUGCAGGCAAUGAAACAGAAACCUACGAAGUUAAUUAUGGCAGGGACUAACCCCAAAUGUCAAAGAAGGAUAACUUCUGCGAAGAUCACCAAUAACCUGCAACGAGAAGAUUUAUCAAUAUGAGAAGAUUUAUCGGUCUGUUUUAAAAUAGCAGGCAGCAAUGAUCAUGGCAGAAGGGCAAGCUUGCAGAAGAAUGGUGGAAAUGGCACCACCUCCAGCGCUCCAGGGGUGGACAUCACAAUCUCUAGCUGCAAAACAUAACACAUGCCUGUCAGAACCAGGGAUGAGCAAUGAAAAAGCAGUACAUUACUGACAUUGUCAGGCAAAAGCUUAGAUGGAUUGAUUCUCGCGACCACAAAAUCUAAGUGCGGGUCGCACAAGCUCUUGUGCGAAUAUGCAAGAAUCAUCCUUUGGAGCCUGAGGGCUCGGGACGUAUUGUACUAGGUGCCAGCCAACACAACUCACCACGGAGACGCCGCCGCGCACGGCCGCACGGGCCGCCUGCAUCGCCGUCUCCCCGCUGCAUGGAUGGGA
rnacentral:sRNA from 1 species